rnacentral:rRNA from 1 species
CGAGUUGUAAUUUGUAGAGGAUGCUUCGGCGUCGGCUCCGGUCUAAGUUCCUUGGAACAGGACGUCAUAGAGGGUGAGAAUCCCGUAUGUGAUCGGUUGCCCUUGCCAUGUGAAGCUCCUUCGACGAGUCGAGUUGUUUGGGAAUGCAGCUCUAAAUGGGAGGUAAAUUUCUUCUAAAGCUAAAUACUGGCCAGAGACCGAUAGCGCACAAGUAGAGUGAUCGAAAGAUGAAAAGCACUAUGGAAAGAGAGUCAAAAAGUACGUGAAAUUGUUGAAAGGGAAGCGCUUGCAACCAGACCUGCCUGCAGUUGCUCGUCCGGGCUUUUGCCCGGUGCACUCUUCUGCUGUCAGGCCAGCAUCAGUUCGGGCGGUCGGAUAAAGGCUUCGGGAAUGUAGCUCCUCUCGAGGAGUGUUAUAGCCCGUUGCGAAAUGCGGCCAGCCUGAACUGAGGUCCGCGCUUCGGCUAGGAUGCUGGCGUAAUGGUUGUAAGCGGCC